rnacentral:rRNA from 1 species
UACAUGCAAGUCGAACGCUUCUUUUUCCACCGGAGCUUGCUCCACCGGAAAAAGAGGAGUGGCGAACGGGUGAGUAACACGUGGGUAACCUGCCCAUCAGAAGGGGAUAACACUUGGAAACAGGUGCUAAUACCGUAUAACAAUCAAAACCGCAUGGUUUUGAUUUGAAAGGCGCUUUCGGGUGUCGCUGAUGGAUGGACCCGCGGUGCAUUAGCUAGUUGGUGAGGUAACGGCUCACCAAGGCCACGAUGCAUAGCCGACCUGAGAGGGUGAUCGGCCACAUUGGGACUGAGACACGGCCCAAACUCCUACGGGAGGCAGCAGUAGGGAAUCUUCGGCAAUGGACGAAAGUCUGACCGAGCAACGCCGCGUGAGUGAAGAAGGUUUUCGGAUCGUAAAACUCUGUUGUUAGAGAAGAACAAGGAUGAGAGUAACUGUUCAUCCCUUGACGGUAUCUAACCAGAAAGCCACGGCUAACUACGUGCCAGCAGCCGCGGUAAUACGUAGGUGGCAAGCGUUGUCCGGAUUUAUUGGGCGUAAAGCGAGCGCAGGCGGUUUCUUAAGUCUGAUGUGAAAGCCCCCGGCUCAACCGGGGAGGGUCAUUGGAAACUGGGAGACUUGAGUGCAGAAGAGGAGAGUGGAAUUCCAUGUGUAGCGGUGAAAUGCGUAGAUAUAUGGAGGAACACCAGUGGCGAAGGCGGCUCUCUGGUCUGUAACUGACGCUGAGGCUCGAAAGCGUGGGGAGCAAACAGGAUUAGAUACCCUGGUAGUCCACGCCGUAACGAUGAGUGCUAGUUUGGAGGGUUUCGGCCUUUCAGUGUUGCAGCUAACCCAUAAACCAUCCCCCCGGGGGAGUAGGCCCCCAAGGUUGAAAUUCAAAGAAAUGACCGGGGGCCCCCCCAAGCGGUGGACCAGGUGGUUUAAUUCGAACCAACGGGAGGACCCUACCCGGUUCUGGCCUCCCUUUGCCCCUUUUAGAAAUAGAGUUUCCCUUUUGGGGCCAAAGGACCAGUGGGUCCAUGGUGUUCUUCACCUCGGUUCUUGGAAGGUUGGGUUAAUUCCCCCACCAAGCCCACCCCUAAUUUUUAUUUCCCUUCAUUCAUUUGGCCAUUCUACCAAGCCUCCCGGGGCCAACCGGGAGGAAGGGGGGGAGGAGGUCAAUUCUCCAUCCCCCUUAUGCCUUGGGUUCCCCCCGUGUUCCAAUGGAAAGUCCACGGAGUGGGGAAGUCGGGGGGUUAAGUUAUUUUUUAAAAGUUUUUUUCAUUUGGGAUGCCGGGCUCCAAUUCCCUUCCAGGAACCGGGAAUCGUUGGUAAUCGGGGUUAACCACGCCCCGGUGAAAAGGUUCCCGGCCUUUGUCCCCCCCCCCCGCCCCCCCCCAAAGUUUGGUACCCCCGGAAUUGGGGGAGGUACCUUUUGGAGCCAGCCGCCUAAGGUG